rnacentral:rRNA from 1 species
GGCUCAGGACGAACGCUGGCGGCGCGCUUAACACAUGCAAGUCGAGCGAGAACCAGUCCUUCGGGGCUGGGGACAGCGGCGAACGGGUGAGUAACACGUGAGUAAUCCACCCCCGACACUGGGAUAGCCCGGGGAAACCCGGAUUAAUACCGGAUAGCCACUUCGGUUCUCGGACCGAAAUGAAAAGGUAGCUUCGGCCUCCGGUUGGGGACGAGCUCGCGGCGGAUUAGCUUGUUGGCGGGGUAAAGGCCCACCAAGGCGACGAUCCGUAGCUGGUCUGAGAGGACGAUCAGCCACACUGGGACUGAGACACGGCCCAGACUCCUACGGGAGGCAGCAGUGGGGAAUCUUGUGCAAUGGGCGAAAGCCUGACACAGCGACGCCGCGUGAGGGAAGAAGGCCUUCGGGUUGUAAACCUCUUUCAGGAGGGACGAAGCUACUCGGGUGAAUAGCCCAGAGGGUGACGGUACCUCCAGAAGAAGCCCCGGCUAACUACGUGCCAGCAGCCGCGGUAAUACGUAGGGGGCAAGCGUUGUCCGGAUUUAUUGGGCGUAAAGAGCGUGUAGGCGGCCUGGAAGGUCAGCUGUGAAAACUCGAGGCUCAACCUCGAGACGUCGGUUGAAACCACCUGGCUAGAGUCCGGAAGAGGAGAGUGGAAUUCCCGGUGUAGCGGUGAAAUGCGCAGAUAUCGGGAAGAACACCCGUGGCGAAGGCGGCUCUCUGGGACGGUACUGACGCUGAGACGCGAAAGCGUGGGGAGCGAACAGGAUUAGAUACCCUGGUAGUCCACGCCGUAAACGAUGGGUGCUAGGUGUGGGGGGUGUCGACUCCCUCCGUGCCGAAGCUAACGCAUUA